GUGGGGAAUAUUGGGCAAUGGGCGCAAGCCUGACCCAGCAACGCCGCGUGAAGGAAGAAGGCUUUCGGGUUGUAAACUUCUUUUACCAGGGACGAAACAAAUGACGGUACCUGGUGAAUAAGCCACGGCUAACUACGUGCCAGCAGCCGCGGUAAUACGUAGGUGGCGAGCGUUAUCCGGAUUUAUUGGGUGUAAAGGGCGUGUAGGCGGGACAGCAAGUCAGAUGUGAAAACCAGAGGCUCAACCUCUGGCCUGCAUUUGAAACUGUUGUUCUUGAGUGUCGGAGAGGUAAUCGGAAUUCCGUGUGUAGCGGUGAAAUGCGUAGAUAUACGGAGGAACACCAGUGGCGAAGGCGGAUUACUGGACGAUAACUGACGCUGAGGCGCGAAAGCGUGGGGAGCAAACAGGAUUAGAUACCCCAUAGUCC
rnacentral:rRNA from 1 species